AUUGCCCUACGGGGGGCAGCAGUGAGGAAUAUUGGUCAAUGGGAGAGAUCCUGAACCAGCCAAGCCGCGUGAGGGAAGACGGCCCUAUGGGUUGUAAACCUCUUUUGUCGGAGAACAAAACCCGGGACGUGUCCCGGACUGCGUGUAUCCGAAGAAAAAGCAUCGGCUAACUCCGUGCCAGCAGCCGCGGUAAUACGUAGGUGGCAAGCGUUGUCCGGAUUUAUUGGGCGUAAAGCGAGUGCAGGCGGGUCAAUAAGUCUGAUGUGAAAGCCUUCGGCUCAACCGGAGAAU
rnacentral:rRNA from 1 species